rnacentral:sRNA from 1 species
GAUGAGUUGAAAAUUCAGAGCCAGAAUGACCGAGAAAAACUUGCAGAAGCAAAGGAGAAGAUAUAUCUAAAAGGAUUUUAUGAGGGUAUCAUGUUGGUGGAUGGAUUUAAAGGACAGAAGGUUCAAGAUGUAAAGAAGACUAUUCAGAAAAAGAUGAUUGACGCUGGAGAUGCACUUAUUUACAUGGAACCGGAGAAACAAGUGAUGUCCAGGUCGUCAGAUGAAUGUGUCGUGGCUCUGUGUGACCAGUGGUACUUGGAUUAUGGAGAAGAGAAUUGGAAGAAACAGACAUCUCAGUGCUUGAAGAACCUGGAAACAUUCUGUGAGGAGACCAGGAGGAAUUUUGAAGCCACCUUAGGUUGGCUACAAGAACAUGCUUGCUCAAGAACUUAUGGUCUAGGCACUCACUUGCCUUGGGAUGAGCAGUGGCUGAUUGAAUCACUUUCUGACUCCACUAUUUACAUGGCAUUUUACACAGUUGCACACCUGUUGCAGGGGGGUAACUUGCAUGGACAGGCAGAGUCUCCGCUGGGCAUUAGGUUGGUAAACAGAUAAGGGAAAGGAGCAUAAUUUGUCAGUAAGAGUUGUGAUGUUUGAUUUACGUAUUGAAAUGUUUUAAUAAGAUUUAUUUCACAGAAUUUUGUCAUGAUGUUUUUGCUUUUUUACUAUUGAACUGGGAAAAAUUAAUAAAUAGCCCCUUACUAUCA